AAAAGUUGGGGAGACCUGACGCUGAAAGAUGGACUCGCGUCCCAUUAGCUAGUUGGUAGGGUAAUGGCCUACCAAGGCGACGAUGGGUAGCCGGCCUGAGAGGGUGGCCGGCCACACUGGGACUGAGACACGGCCCAGACUCCUACGGGAGGCAGCAGUGGGGAAUUUUGCGCAAUGCUCGUAAGAGUGACGCAGCGACGCCGCGUGAAUGACGAAGGCCUUCGGGUCGUAAAGUUCUUUCGACAGGGAAGAAAAUGCCUAUAAGUAACUGUGUAUGUAUUGACGGUACCUGUAUAAGCAGCCCCGGCUAACUCCGUGCCAGCAGCCGCGGUAAUACGGAGGGGGCGAGCGUUGUUCGGAGUGACUGGGCGUAAAGAGCACGUAGGCGGUGUUGUAAGUCAUUAGUCAAAGGCUAGAGCUCAACUUUAGUAAGGCUAGUGAUACUAUAAUACUAGAGUAUCAGAGAGGAUUGCAGAAUUCCUGGUGUAGCGGUGAAAUGCGUAGAUAUCAGGAGGAAUACCGUUAGCGAAGGCGGCAAUCUGGCUGGAAACUGACGCUGAGGUGCGAAAGCGUGGGUAGCAAACAGGAUUAGAUACCCUGGUAGUCCACGCU
rnacentral:rRNA from 1 species